CCUACGGGUGGCAGCAGUCGAGAAUCAUUCACAAUGGGGGAAACCCUGAUGGUGCGACGCCGCGUGGGGGAAUGAAGGUCUUCGGAUUGUAAACUCCUGUCAUGUGGGAGCAAAUUAAAAAGAUAGUACCACAAUAGGAAGAGACUGCUAACUCUGUGCCAGCAGCCGCGGUAAUACAGAGGUCUCAAGCGUUGUUCGGAAUCACUGGGCGUAAAGCGUGCGUAGGCUGUUUCGUAAGUCGUGUGUGAAAGGCGCGGGCUCAACCCGCGGACGGCACAUGAUACUGCGGGACUAGAGUAAUGGCGGGGGAACCGGAAUUCUUGGUGUAGCAGUGAAAUGCGUAGAUAUCG
rnacentral:rRNA from 1 species